rnacentral:rRNA from 1 species
UACGUAGGGUGCGAGCGUUAAUCGGAAUUACUGGGCGUAAAGCGUGCGCAGGCGGUUUUGUAAGCCAGGUGUGAAAUCCCCGGGCUCAACCUGGGAAUGGCAUUUGGGACUGCAAGGCUGGAGUUUGGCAGAGGAGACUGGAAUUCCCGGUGUAGCAGUGAAAUGCGUAGAUAUCAGGAGGAAUACCGAUGGCGAAGGCAGGUCUCUGGGCUGACACUGACGCUCAUGCACGAAAGCGUGGGGAGCAAACAGG